rnacentral:rRNA from 1 species
UACGUAGGGUGCGAGCGUUAAUCGGAAUUACUGGGCGUAAAGCGUGCGCAGGCGGUUCGUUGUGUCGGUGGUGAAAUCCCCGGGCUUAACCUGGGAAUGGCCAUGGAAACUGGCGAACUGGAGUGUGGCAGAGGGGGGUGGAAUUCCGCGUGUAGCAGUGAAAUGCGUAGAGAUGCGGAGGAACACCGAUGGCGAAGGCAGCCCCCUGGGCUAACACUGACGCUGAGGCACGAAAGCGUGGGGAGCAAACAGG